GGGCAGGUAGCUCAGUCGGUACGAGCGUCCGCCUGAAAAGCGGAAGGUCGRCGGUUCGACCCCGCCCCUGCCCACCA
rnacentral:tRNA from 1 species